AAGUACACUGCAGCUGUCUUCAGACACACCAGAAGAGGGAGUCAGAUAUCCUUAUGGAUGAUUGUGAGCCACCAUGUGGUUGCUGGGACUUGAACUCAGGACCUCUGGAAGAGCAAUCAGUGCUCUUAACUGCUGAGCCAUCUCACCAGUCCUCUUUCCAUUUUUUGAAUUUUUUUUUUUUAAUGUCAUGUUUUUGAGACAUGGUUUCUUUGUGUAGUCCUGGCUAUUCUGGAACUGUUUCUAUGGACCAGGCUGGCCUCUGACUUUGUCUCUUGAGUGCUGGGAUCAAAUGCAUGAACCUUCAUGCUUAGCCUAAGGCUAGGCUUAAAACAUUAAAUCCUCCUGCCUCAGCUUCCUGCUGCUUGUUACUACCCCUAGCUACAGUGAUUUUUGUGAUGUGAAUAUUUGACACAGAUGAUUAAAAUAGGCUCCUUGACUAUGAACUUUCUAUGAUUGAAUUAAAGAGCCAUUAUGAGCUGUUUUUAUACAGAAAAAUUAUGAUAAUGUAGCAAAUGCACAUUGUGGGUAUUUUGGAACGAUAUGAAAAGACUGACAGAAGGUGACAUUCAUCUCUUAUAGGAGGCUGAGGCAGAUGGAUCUCCAUUGUGGGUUCAAGGUCAGUCUGAUCUACAUAAGUGAGUUCCAGAACCACAGAGAGACUUCAUUUCAAAAUCAAAAUAAAUAAAGUACAUAAAUAAGCAGAUAAGUCAGUAAUGUUAAUAAAAAGAUAAUUAGGAAUGAUAAAAAUGCUGCUUUUUAUCACUUAUUGUGAAGUUUUUUGGAGGUUGUGGUUUCAAGACAGGGUUUCUCUGUGUAGCCCUGAUAUCCUGGAACUCGCUCUGUAAACCAGGCUGGCCUCAAACUUACAGAAAUCUAUGUACUACUGUUUCUGAAGUGUCAGGACUUGAGCCUGAGGACUAUAGAAUUGCUUCUGGAUUACUUUGAAGUGGCAAAGUUUGUUUAAAGCAAUGAUUGCUACACGCAUCUUAUAAAUCAUUUUCAUUAUUUUUGUUGUUUUAUGUAUAUUUGUGUUUCACCUGCAUGUGUCUUUGCACUGGUUCCUUCAAAGGCCAGAAGGGCAUCAAACCCUUUGGAGCUGGUAUUACAGACAGUCAUAAACCACCACAUGGAAGCUGCAAAUUGACUCCAGGUCCUUUGCAGGAGUAGCAAGUUAACUGCUGAGCCAUCUCUUAGCUUCCAAGCCUGUCAACUUUUUACAAUCACUU
rnacentral:lncRNA from 1 species